UACGUAGGGAGCAAGCGUUGUCCGGAAUCAUUGGGCGUAAAGCGCGCGUAGGUGGCUUCGUAAGUCCGUUGUGAAAGUCAAAGGCUCAACCUUUGAAAGCCGAUGGAUACUGUGAAGCUAGAGUACGGAAGAGGCGAGUGGAAUUCCUGGUGUAGCGGUGGAAUGCGCAGAUAUCAGGAGGAACACCAAUAGCGAAGGCAGCUCGCCGGGACGUUACUGACACUGAGGCGCGAAAGCGUGGGGAGCAAACAGG
rnacentral:rRNA from 1 species